GCGGUUGUGGCGGAAAGGCAGACGCGUCAGCUUGAGGGGCUGGUGAGGGAAACCUCAUGCGGGUUCAAGUCCCGCCAACCGCACCA
rnacentral:tRNA from 4 species